GAGCGCGUGGUCCUGGUCGCGAGCACAUGGAAGUGAGGUCGAGAUUUGUGUCAGUGAGACGCGAGACUGAUCAUCAGAAAAAAGGAAUAUAAAAGCGAUAAAGCGGCCACAAAUACUGAAGUUAAAGCGAGCAGAGCAGAGAUGGUGUAUGAGGUGCAGCCAUACUGAGACAUGGGAGGACCACAAAAGAUGGGGGUGGGUGGUGUUGCAGACCCUCAGGCAGUCCCAGGGUCUGCUGCAGCUGUUGCACUCAUGAAGAUACUGAUCUGAAUGGGAAGGAUGCAAAGGUGGAAGCAGUCAGUGUUGGACUUGGUUUCACCCUUUUGUAUGGUACACACACACUCGCACAUACUGCAUACGAUAUCUACUUCCCCCUUUCUUUGAGAUGACACAGAUACACCCUGAAUGGGCCCCUGUGGUGAUCUGCAUUGUGGUCGGGAAGUACCUAGUGUUACAACUGCCACACUGGUCUCCUUAAAAAGACAGUGCUGAUCACAAGUUAAAGGUGGGGUAGGUAAGUUUGAGAAACCGGCUCGAGAUACACUUUUUGUUAUAUUCCAUGGAAUGCUCUUAACAUCCCGAUAGCAAUGAAUAUCUUAAGUGCUUUGACGAAAAAUCCAUUAAAAAAUGUCAUCUGUGGAAGCCGUGGUGCUGUAAAAAGCACGACCAAUCAUUUUAGCCGGCCCGGCUAAAAUAACUGGAUGGCCUACCUGCCUGUCAGCCUUCCAUCUGUGCACAAACUUAUCUCGUGCCCUCAUUGGUCAUGUGCGCGUUCGUGUGUGUUGGAGGAGGGGCUCUGUAAGGAAGUGGCAGAUUUUUUCCGGCUGUGUAUUUUCAAAUUCUAGCGCACUCGACCUGGUUUCUCCAAAAUUACCUACCCUACCUUUAAGGGGUUGAAUAAGGCUUUUCACUGCCGUUUGCCCACUUGAAAUGCAUACAAUUAUGUGUUUAAUGUAUCAUAAAGGUUGAAAGUUAUCCAUAUUUAUACUCUUUGAAAAAUGGGUUAGGGUUAGACAACUCAAAUGGUUCCAACUUGACCUGAGUUGCUGGGGUCAUGGGAAUGUUGUACCAUAUUAAUUAAAGUAUAACACAACCAGGUAAAAGAGGAAUACAUUUGUUUUGCAAUACUUUAUUAAGCUGCAUAAUUUGUUGCUUAGUCAAUGUAUGUAUUUUCCAUCACUUUACACUGUUGUAUGUUCUGAAAAAUGUCCACACUUGUCUGAAUAAAAUGUUACGCUAGCAGAUGUUUA